UGAUGAGUGUUCUGCUGAGCAUAUCAUUUCUGAGCCGAAUAAGUGAGAAUUAGGAUUUGAAUUAGCUGACACUGUGAGCAAGCCCAGAACGUGGGAAGCCUAAUGUGUCACAAUUCGUAUCCACCUUUGAUGAAGGUGGGUUCAGAGUAGGUGUUUUGGUAGAGCGCUCCUAAA
rnacentral:other from 1 species